AACCCUUAAGAGUUCUCUCUCUCUAACUUGGUCUCUCACCUUCUCUCUCACUCUCUCCCACCCCUCACCCUCUCUUCGUUCUAAAUAAGGCAUAGCCUCCUAGCUUUGUCGUGAAGCCCAGCCACCACCCCCAUGAUGAUGGUUCCAAACCUCUCAUCCUUUCUCUCUCUAAACCCAAGCCAAACACUUCAUAUUUAUCUGAUCUCUCUCUCUCUAAAACCUAGAACUCAACUUCUCAAUCUACUACCUAGGAGAGCCCCAAACGACACGUGGAACAUGAAUCGGUGUUGUGGAGGUUAAAGGCUUCACGGAUCUGCCAAGAACCUUGGCCAUGGUGACACAUGAGAUCAUAUGUGGUGGCGCGUGAGCUCGUGAACAGUACAAGUAUGACAAAGGAUCCUGCGUUGUGAUUGCUGGAGUUGAUUACUAUGUGAUUGCCGCCGAUACUCCCAUGUCCUCCGGUUACAAUAUUCUCACCCAUGAGUACUCCAAAAUUUGCAAAUUGUAAGCCCCUCCCCUUUUUCUUUUGUUCUCUAUUUAUUUCUUUGAAGUGUGGUGUUAGGUUUUUUUUUUUUUUGAUUAGAAAGUUUUAGGAUUGGUGGUUUACUGUUUCCGGCUAUUAUAGUAUUCUAGGUUUUGAGCAUCAAAUCAAAUUUUAGGACUUUUGCAUAAAAGAAAGAAAAAAAAAAUUGAAACUUGUUUGCUGCUUGUAUUGACUCAGAAUGUUACUUUUUGUAUCUUAUUGAAAGUGUAAGUUUUGGAUUUGGGGUGGACAACUUGGGUGAAUUGUUGUUUAAGGUGGAAAAAAUGUAUUCAAAAUUGAGAAUUUUGGCCAAAAUUCUAUGUCCUUAUUUUUCAUUGUCUAUGUUUAUUAAGUUAGUAAAUUUUUUGGAGAAAUAGUUGGAAGUUUGAGAUUGUUUUGGUUUUUGAAGGAGGUGGAAGUCAAGAAAUUUUAACGAAGUUAGGUUAGGCGAGAAGAAAAAAAAUAAAGGAAGGCUAUCACUUGAAAGCUACUUGGAAACCGUUCAUAUGGGUUGCCUUUUUGGCAUAAAGAGCAAAUCAGGAACUGGGUUUACCUUAAAUUGUUUGGCCUUCUUGUUUAACUAGACUCCUAGACAUAAUUAUGACUCGAACAUGUGUUUGCUUUAAAGAAAAAAUUAUUUUAGUAUCAUAUUGCUCAGUCAUAGAUUUUGGUGUGGAUUUGUACUAUCUAGGAGUUCAUUUGUUUAGUAUUGGAAGAAAUUUGGUUGUUACUACUUUCCCAUAAUUGAUGUCUUGUGCCAGUUCAGGAUAGAAGGUAAUUGAUGAGUCCUUGAGUUGAUGGAUGAACAAAAAACUAAAAGAAAUUUAUCUCUGGGAUUUCUAUGCUUAUGUUAACAUCUUGAUUAUCCUAAAUCUAUUGAAUGUGUAAAGCAAUUGGAGCGGGUGGAAAAAACAAAAAACAAAUAAAAAAAAAAAAACGAUGUCCUUGUGUUCAUCUUUAUCUUUAUCUUUAUCUUUAUCUAUUGUCUCUCAAAUCUUUCUCUUUCUUAUCAAAAACCAAACCCUUGAGCUUCAAUGGCGUCUUAGGCUCACCUGCUAUAUAUUGAUUCAAAGCCUUCGUUGAUGGUCCCGACUUUCUCUCUGUCGAUUGUUUGCUAGAUUUGAUUCUUUUGAAAGGUCCACCUAUUUUGGGCCCUUCUUUAAUUUGGGACAGGGAUAUCAAAGGUGCCAAUUUGCUUGUUGAUGCAUCAGGGGUGGUUAAGCUAGCAGAUUUCGAGGUAGCUAAGCAUUAUUAAGUGAUGAAGAUUUGAUCAAGACAACUAAAAGUCACAUGAGAAGCACAUGCAAGAAGGUGAAGAGUCAAGCCAACUGUCCAGAGAGUAUAGUAUGUCAAUUGGCUAACUCGCGACUCGGGUCGCCACUUGCAUCAGUUGCAAGUGAGUUGCGAGAUGCCCCUGUUUUGCUAGAACACAUGACCUUUCAUAUUCUCCUCACACAUACUAUAUAUACCCUCAUUACCCAUAUAAAUUGUAGAGAGCCUAUUGAGAGAAAAACUCUAAGAAAGGUUUUUACAACACACCCACCUUAUUAGAGAGAGAGCUACUCAUUUUUAGAGAGAAAUCUUUAUAGUCUCUUCUCCUCCCCCUCCCAUUGUUAUACCC